AAAGGUUUAGGUUAAUUAGACCAAGAGCCUUCAAAGCUCUAAGUAGGUAUCUCUCGUGCCUAACCUUUG
rnacentral:tRNA from 1 species